rnacentral:rRNA from 1 species
CCUACGGGUGGCAGCAAUUAGGGAUCUUGCGCAAUGGGCGAAAGCCUGACGCAGCGACGCCGCGUGACCGAUGAAGUCCUUCGGGAUGUAAAGGUCUUUUGGCAGGGAAGAAGGAAGUGACGGUACCUGCAGAAUAAGCCCCGGCUAACUACGUGCCAGCAGCCGCGGUAAUACGUAGGGGGCGAGCGUUGUCCGAAGUUACUGGGCGUAAAGCGCGCGUAGGCGGUUGUUUAAGUUAGAUGUGAAAUCCCGCGGCCCAACGGCGGAACUG